UACGUAGGGUGCAAGCGUUAAUCGGAAUUACUGGGCGUAAAGCGUGCGCAGGCGGUUGUGCAAGACCGAUGUGAAAUCCCCGGGCUUAACCUGGGAAUGGCAUUGGUGACUGCACGGCUAGAGUGUGUCAGAGGGGGGUAGAAUUCCACGUGUAGCAGUGAAAUGCGUAGAGAUGUGGAGGAAUACCGAUGGCGAAGGCAGCCUCCUGGGCCAACACUGACGCUCAUGCACGAAAGCGUGGGGAGCAAACAGG
rnacentral:rRNA from 1 species